rnacentral:rRNA from 1 species
AAAUUGAAGAGUUUGAUCAUGGCUCAGAUUGAACGCUGGCGGCAGGCCUAACACAUGCAAGUCGAGCGGUAGCACAGAGAGCUUGCUCUCGGGUGACGAGCGGCGGACGGGUGAGUAAUGUCUGGGAAACUGCCUGAUGGAGGGGGAUAACUACUGGAAACGGUAGCUAAUACCGCAUAACGUCGCAAGACCAAAGUGGGGGACCUUCGGGCCUCAUGCCAUCAGAUGUGCCCAGAUGGGAUUAGCUAGUAGGUGGGGUAACGGCUCACCUAGGCGACGAUCCCUAGCUGGUCUGAGAGGAUGACCAGCCACACUGGAACUGAGACACGGUCCAGACUCCUACGGGAGGCAGCAGUGGGGAAUAUUGCACAAUGGGCGCAAGCCUGAUGCAGCCAUGCCGCGUGUGUGAAGAAGGCCUUCGGGUUGUAAAGCACUUUCAGCGGGGAGGAAGGCGA